UCUGUUGCCUUGACAGCCAAAUCCUUCGACUCGCAAACAAUUUUAAGCUUUUUGGUAAGGUCAUCAACAGUCCGUUUUGCCCUUUCGAGCUCAGUAAGUGCUUGGGCUCUAGUGGUUUCUGCAUUUUUCAACUGAUCCUUCAACUUGUUCAGCUCUUUCUGAGCUAAGUGAAGCCGUGUUUCCUUUGCCAGUACCCUCUGAAAUCAAGUCAAGAUAAGAGUACUUAGGUUUUUCCCCUGAGAAUGCACCUUCCCCAAACAAGUUAACAGCAUCUUUGACAGACUGAAAUGGUGCACUUGUAUCUAUCUCCCCAACAUGUACUUUUGGAGAUCCAGUAGGUUUAUUACGGUCUUUUGAAACCAUAUCUUAAUCUUUUACACAGAAUCACCUAUCAACAAAAAGCAAAGAAAAGUUUACUGGGAGUGACCAAAAACACAGACGGAAUUUCAACAUUGUGGAUAAGAGUAGCACAGAAGCUUGAGAUACCAGUUUACAAGUGGUCAUCAUGCAAUACAAGCUAGGUAUAUUUAACAUCAGCAUCCUCCUUUUCCUUGAAAUUCUUUAUCUUUUUUUUUUGAUAAGGACUUGAAAAUCUUAGUGAUGGAUUGCGAAUAGCUGCCUAGGCAUUUAUUAUAAGAAACAGACGUCUUUCUGAGUGCACGGAAGCAAAACCUCUACAGCCAUUAUUGACAAUAUAUGCUAAGCCAAAAAUGUACAUUUUCACUCUCUAAGGUCACACUAAACAUAUACAGAAAGACGCUCCCUUUUGUCACACUGAGGGGAGUAGGUUGUUUUCGACUUUU